GGACUCUCUCCCAUGGGACUGUCGAGGGAGGUAACUCCUUUUCCCUCAACAGAGGCCAGAGGCCAAGAUCAGCCAUUGAGGAGCUGUAAGCUAGACAGCCUGUUUUCCUGCCUCAGAUAUAU
rfam:Tupaia chinensis contig39307, whole genome shotgun sequence.